rnacentral:rRNA from 1 species
ACGGGUGAGUAACACGUAUGCAAUCCACCUGUAACAGGGGGAGUAACCCGGAGAAAUCCGGACUAAUACCCCAUAAUAUGGGCGCUCCGCAUGGAGAGUCCAUUAAAGAGAGCAAUCUUGGUUACAGACGAGCAUGCGCUCCAUUAGCCAGUUGGCGGGGUAACGGCCCACCAAGGCGACGAUAGAUAGGGGUUCUGAGAGGAAGGUCCCCCACAUUGGAACUGAGACACGGUCCAA